rnacentral:snoRNA from 1 species
GCCCUCUCAGGGUCGCACCUGGAGAGUUUCCAGUCCUCUACCAGUCACGACUACGGGAGGGAGAGUCAAGCAGAGGCAUGUCCAUUCCAUUCCUAGCUUGGCCAGUGGCUAGAGUGGAAGGCUAUCUGCUACAAGU